ensembl:lncRNA TCF12-DT TCF12 divergent transcript
GGGCCUCCUGGGAGCGGGGUGGCAGGUACCGUGGCGCCUCCUCGCGUUGGUCUUGCUGGUUCUCGGCCCCCGAAGCGGAGCGACGGAGACACAGCUGUGGAAGCAUCUGGAUCCGCUGCCCAGGUCCCCGAGCUUCCCGGAACCCGAGGCCGCAGGACACUGAAGGCUGCCAUUCCCGAGUAGGUCACGCUGGACGCCACCCUAAGCUGGGCCCAGAGGCUCCCGUCCAGGAGGGCUGCAGUCGGCGCAGACACCGCGCGUGUGGAGACGGGAGACCCAUCCUCCUCGGCCGUUCCGAGAGUAGGCGCGGCCGGUCAGAUUCGAUGCAGAGCCGAAUGCGGGAGAAAGGGCAAAACGUACCUCAAACCAGACAAAGCCUUGUGAGCUUCAGGUUCUCAAAUACCCCACUCACCCAGACCCCACAUCUCCAGUCAGCCCCUCGCACCCAAAUCCCAUUCGGAGCAACCGAACUGCACGUGGGACUAGUUCUUGGGAAUGGAUCAAGCCAGUCUCUUCAUCUAACGGAGACAGCCCUGGGUGGCUCUGUCACACAGCCACUGUCUUGUGCACAAGUUCUGAACUUGGCCUCAGAGAAGCCCCAGAGUAGAAAGAAGACAAAAUAAGCCCCAGUUCUUCGAUUCUGGGCUGAAGUGAGAUUUUCUUGAAUGGCAGCCAUUGUUUUGCCUCUUAGGUAAGUGAGUGCAGUAAAGACCGGUAAGGCCCACGCAGAAGAAACACUGAGGAAAGAAGACACUUCCAAAGUAACAAAUGGGAGGAAGCAGCCAACGCCCGAGGACAACAUGGCAAGAAGGAGCCUUUGGAUUCCGGACUGGGAUGGAAAGAGAGUUGAUUGAAUCCCGGAAUUUGGAAACCCCAGAUACGGAGGGCGGACGGUACAACCGGAGCUGUCAGGUGGAUUUCCAAGGCUUUGCAUUGGCUGUACCUGAAACUUAUGGUGGCCUAGACUCCCCAGUAUCCACUCUUCCUUAUCUUGAGUCUCACUCUUUUGCCCAAAUUAGAGUGCAAUGACACGAUCUCGACUCACUGCAAUCUCUGCCUCCUGAGUUCAAGCAAGUCUCCUGCCUCAGCCUCCUAAAUAGCCAGGAUUACAGAAUCUUGCUCUGUCACCCAGGCUGGAGUGCAAUGGUGCAAUCUCAAGCUCACUGCAACCUCUGUGCAGGUUCAAGUGGAGAAUCUGAAUCUUGAUGAUAUAAUUGGAACUCUUCAGCCAAGCCAUAUCUAACAGAACUAUCUUCAACUUUUCAGAGUCCUCCUUUGUCACCCAGCCUGAAGUGCAGUGGUGCAAUCUCGGCUCACUGCAACCCCUGCCUCCUAGGUUCAAGCAAUCCUCCUGCCUCAGCCUCCUGAGCAGUUGGGACUACAGGAGCAUGCCACCAUGCUGAGCUAAUUUUUUGUAGAAGCAGGGCUUCACCAUGUUGCCCAGAGUGGCCUCAAGCUUUCCUUCUGCCUCAGCCUCCCAAAGUGCUAGGAUUACAGGUGUUGGUGAGGAUGCAGAGAAAAGGGAAACUCAUACACUGCUGAUGGGAAUGCAAACCAGUACAACUUCUAUGGAAAACGAUAUGGAGACUCUCAAAGAACUAAAAGCAGAACCAUCAUUCCGUCCAGCAAUCCCACCACUGGUCAUCUACCCAAAGUUUGGGUAUCAAAAAUAUACUUACAAAAGAAGUAAAGAGAGCUCACCUAUUUUUGUCUUCACUGAAUGAAAAAGUCUGUUCAAUACAGGAAAUAAACUUUGAAGAUUUGGUAAAACUCACCUCUUUGGAGUCUCAUUGUUGUUGCCCAGGCUGGAGUGCAGUGGCGCUAUCUCGGCUCACUGCAACCUCUGCAUCCCAGGUUCAAGCAAUUCUCUGCCUCAACCUCCCAAGUAGCUGGGAUUACAGGUGCCCACCAGUACGCCCGGCUAAUUUUUGUAUAUUUAGUAGAGAUGGGGUUUCACCAUGUUGGCCAGGCUGGUCUUGAACUUCUGACCUCGUGAUCCAAUUGCAUCAGCCUCCCACAGUGCUGGGAUUGCAGGCAUGAGCCACCGUGCCCAGCCUCCAUCAAUCUCUUAACAAGGCCAAGGAACUGAACUUGCCAAGAAAGAACUUUCCUCGGCCAAAGGAGAAAAAGGAGAGACUGUGAACAGUUAGCCAUUAAUUUUUUUUUCACUUUGGCAACAAUGUGAAAUGGCUGUCAAAAAAUGUAACUCAUUUUGCACAUUAGAUUGUGCAAUAUCAUUGCCAAUAUUAAGUUUGCAGUAAUCCAAUGUGGCUGGUGUCUUUAUAAAAAGAGGAGAUUAAAGACACAGACGCACACAGAGGAAGGACCAAGUGAAGACACAAGGAGAAGAUGACUAUCUACAAGCCAAGGAGAAAUGCCUCCAAAG